GAUGAACGCUGGCGGCGUGCCUAACACAUGCAAGUCGAGCGAACAGACGAGGAGCUUGCUCCUCUGACGUUAGCGGCGGACGGGUGAGUAACACGUGGAUAACCUACCUAUAAGACUGGGAUAACUUCGGGAAACCGGAGCUAAUACCGGAUAAUAUAUUGAACCGCAUGGUUCAAUAGUGAAAGACGGUUUUGCUGUCACUUAUAGAUGGAUCCGCGCCGCAUUAGCUAGUUGGUAAGGUAACGGCUUACCAAGGCAACGAUGCGUAGCCGACCUGAGAGGGUGAUCGGCCACACUGGAACUGAGACACGGUCCAGACUCCUACGGGAGGCAGCAGUAGGGAAUCUUCCGCAAUGGGCGAAAGCUUGACGGAGCAACGCCGCGUGAGUGAUGAAGGUCUUCGGAUCGUAAAGCUCUGUUAUUAGGGAAGAACAAAUGUGUAAGUAGCUAUGCACGUCUUGACGGUACCUAAUCAGAAAGCCACGGCUAACUACGUG
rnacentral:rRNA from 1 species